rnacentral:rRNA from 1 species
GAUGAACGCUAGCUACAGGCUUAACACAUGCAAGUCGAGGGGAAACGAUAGAGAAAGCUUGCUUUUUCUAGGCGUCGACCGGCGCACGGGUGAGUAACGCGUAUCCAACCUGCCCAUCACUUGGGGAUAACCUUGCGAAAGUAAGACUAAUACCCAAUGACGUCCAUAGAAGACAUCUGAAAUGGAUUAAAGAUUUAUCGGUGAUGGAUGGGGAUGCGUCUGAUUAGCUUGUUGGCGGGGUAACGGCCCACCAAGGCGACGAUCAGUAGGGGUUCUGAGAGGAAGGUCCCCCACAUUGGGACUGAGACACGGUCCAAACUUCUACGGGAGGCAGCAGUGAGGAAUAUUGGUCAAUGGACGAGAGUCUGAACCAGCCAAGUAGCGUGCAGGAUGACGGCCCUAUGGGUUGUAAACUGCUUUUAUAAGGGAAUAAAGUGGGAGUCGUGACUCCUUUUGCAUGUACCUUAUGAAUAAGGACCGGCUAAUUCCGUGCCAGCCGCCGCCGUAA